UAAUGCAGUCGAACGCACAGCGAAAGGUGCUUGCACCUUUCAAGUGAGUGGCGAACGGGUGAGUAACACGUGGACAACCUGCCUCAAGGCUGGGGAUAACAUUUGGAAACAGAUGCUAAUACCGAAUAAAACUUAGUAUCGCAUGAUACCAGGUUAAAAGGCGCUACGGCGUCACCUAGAGAUGGAUCCGCGGUGCAUUAGUUAGUUGGUGGGGUAAAGGCCUACCAAGACAAUGAUGCAUAGCCGAGUUGAGAGACUGAUCGGCCACAUUGGGACUGAGACACGGCCCAAACUCCUACGGGAGGCUGCAGUAGGGAAUCUUCCACAAUGGGCGAAAGCCUGAUGGAGCAACGCCGCGUGUGUGAUGAAGGCUUUCGGGUCGUAAAGCACUGUUGUAUGGGAAGAAAAGUUAAGGUAGGGAAUGACCUUAGCCUGACGGUACCAUACCAGAAAGGGACGGCUAAAUACGUGCCAGCAGCCGCGGUAAUACGUAUGUCCCGAGCGUUAUCCGGAUUUAUUGGGCGUAAAGCGAGCGCAGACGGUUGGUUAAGUCUGAUGUGAAAGCCCGGAGCUCAACUCCGGAAAGGCAUUGGAAACUGGUUAACUUGAGUGCAGUAGAGGUAAGUGGAACUCCAUGUGUAGCGGUGGAAUGCGUAGAUAUAUGGAAGAACACCAGCGGCGAAGGCGGCUUACUGGACUGUAACUGACGUUGAGGCUCGAAAGUGUGGGUAGCAAACAGGAUUAGAUACCCUGGUAGUCCACACCGUAAACGAUGAACACUAGGUGUUAGGAGGUUUCCGCCUCUUAGUGCCGAAGCUAACGCAUUAAGUGUUCCGCCUGGGGAGUACGACCGCAAGGUUGAAACUCAAAGGAAUUGACGGGGACCCGCACAAGCGGUGGAGCAUGUGGUUUAAUUCGAAGCAACGCGAAG
rnacentral:rRNA from 1 species